GCCAUUGUAGCUUAGAGGUUUGAGCAUUAGACUAAAACUCUGAAGACCAGGGUUUGAAUCCAUGCUCAGCCA